rnacentral:tRNA from 1 species
GCCUCCGUAGCUCAACGGCAGAGCAACUGAUUUGUAAUCAGUAGGUUGGGGGUUCAAGUCCCUCCGGGGGCU